CCUCUGCACAGGUUUUGAUAAAUCUCCCCCGUUGUCUCCAAACAUGUCUUCAAGAAGUUCUCUAAGGCGGACUUCUAAUAAUAGUCCUGCGUUCUUACAAUGUACAGUAGGAGAACGGCAUCAACACUGACAGCAUCAAGGCUGGGGCAGGCAUGGUGCGGGUCCGUUGGCAACCAGAAGGCAUACAUUUAAGAUAUUUUGAACAUUUUUGUUGCAUGGAUAGGAGAUAUUUGAAACUCGGAUCCAUCCAAUUCAAUAGGAUGAGCUGCAGUACCAGGCACAGCCUGUUGGCAGGAGUGGCGCUGUUACGGGGGGGGCAGACUUUUUUUUCAAUUAUUAUUUAAAAAAUUCUCUGCAGCCUUUCUAAUCCAUUCUGCUCCCUAAUGACAAACAGCAUAAACAUGUCGUUGUGGAAGCAGCCAGGAAGUUCUGCUUGGUCUAUAGUACAGAGGUGUGACAGGAUCCUGCUGUGUUUCUAACUAGAAUUUAGGGGGAUUCUAAGCAAGAAGAUGGCAGAAGAUAGUGGUUAAACAAUGCCUCUAUUGACACAAGCAACAAGAUGAAUCUUGCUUCAAAAGCUUUGCAGAUGAAGAGCCCUGGGGCAGAAGGCCGCCUGCAGAGAGCGAGGGAGCCAAACUGGGAACGAGGGUGUGGAGAUGAUAAAAAGACAUUUCAUUCAGUCUACAAAGAUGUGAUGGGACCGCCAGGAUUCCUGACCAGUGCAGGCUGGGGGUAUCUGCCCUAGUGGAGGAAUCAAUAUAGAAACUGACAAAUAUCUUCUGGGACAGAUACAGAUGUGUUCCCCAGACUGUAAGCACCAACAGAUCCAGAUCCACUACAACCCUCAGCGGGAAUGCUGGACACCUUUUUUGGAUUUCACACUUGUUAGCAAUAGGACUGCUACCUCUACUGGUGGGAGAAGGGCGCAGCAUAUACAGCUAUAAAUAUAUAUAUAUGUGGUGAACCAGUACAGAAUCACGUGUUCUUCUGUACUUCUGCCCAUCCUGUGUGGCAGAUGCUGCUUUGGUGUCCAUCUUGGGCCCACUCUCCUCAGGACUCUGUAUAAUUCACUAUAUAAUGUAAUGUUAUGCAGGGGUUAAUGUAUUUUCUUUGCACCUGUUACACCUGUUUUCAUGAGCCUUGUUGUUAGGGGAGUAUGCAAAGGUGAACCAUGUGACUUAUCUGGCCAAUGGGAAGGCUCUAAAUACCUCCCAUCUAUCUCUCUCUCUUGCUGUGGUACAGUUUGGUGAAGUGUGAAGUCUGUCUAUGAGGUGAUUCUGAAGGAGGCCUGAGGCCUAGUCCAGCAACCAUGCAUCUACUACCACUUAGCCCCUGUACACAGGUGAAAGUCAAAGCCUUGCGGUAAGCCUUACAGUCCAGGGAUCAAUUCAAGUCAAGUUAGUCAAGUCCAAGUAACUAAAGUCUAGCGUGGACUGCAUACAAAUCUAGUCAGUCAAAUACAGCACAAUCAACUAUAAGUCCCAGCAAGCCGAUAAGCUUCCUAAAGUUCACCCUGCAUCCCCUUCAUGCUAAUCUGAGCUGUAACCUAUUGUACCAUCUUUCCAACCUCAUCCGUAACCUUGCGUCGGAGUAAUUAUUUGCCAUAUGCCUGGCACAGGAGAAACUGGUCUACCUCAGGUGGUGUAUAGGUCAACCAUGCCCUGGCAUCUCAAAAUGAUUAAUUACCCUUACCCAACACCACACACACACAUAUAUAUAUAUAUAUAUAUAUCCUGCAUCUAGGAAUACUAGUGGCAUAUAGUAAGGCUGGGUUUACACGUUGGACACCGGAAUUGGGAUUUACGCAGCAGAAACAUUCUGUCAUGUGCACAGUGCAGUAGAAACCAAUUGAGAUCAGCAUGUAGAAAAGGGAUCACAUUGAUCCAUAUUAUUGUUGUUAAGUUACUAGUAAAAUUCUACUAUAUUAGGACAAUUUAAACGUUGCCAUAGAUAUACAGUAUGUGGAAGAUAAACAGUAUUAAAAUAUGUGUGGAGUGUGUUGUGGAAUCAUCAGUACAAUGUAUGGCGGUAUUAGUAGCACAGUGUAUGGUGCCUAUAUAUGUACAGUAUAUUGUGGUAUCAUGUGUGCAGUGUUUACGGGAUAAAGUGGUAUUGUGAGUACAGCAUAUAGUAGUAUUGUGAUUAUAGUAUAUGGUGGUAAUGUGAUUACAGUUGUAUAGGGGUAUAUUGAGUACAAAAUAUGGUGAUAUUGUAAGUACAGUAUAUAUUUAGUAUAGUAUAUGGUGGUAUUGUGAGUACAGUAUAUAGUGGUAUUUUUGGUACAGUAUUUUGUGGUAUUGUAAGUACACUAUAUAGUGGUAUUGUGAGUACAGUAUAUAGUGGAAUUUUGAGCACAGUAAAUGGUGGUAUUGUAAGUACACUAUAUGGUGGUAUUGUGAGUACAGUAUAUAGUGGUAUUUUUGGUACAGUAUUUUGUGGUAUUGUAAGUACACUAUAUGGUGGUAUUGUGAGUAGAAUAUACAGUGGUAUUUUGAGUACAGUAUAUGGUGAUAUUGUAAGUACAGUCUAUAGUAUAGUAUAUAGUGGCAUUUUGAAUACAGUAUAUAGUGGUAUUGUAAGUACACUAUACAGUGGUAUUGUGAGUACAGUAUAUAGUGUUUUUUGAGUAUAGAAUAUGGUGAUAUUGUAAGUACAGUCUACAGCAUAGUGAGUAUAGUAUAUGGUGGUAUUGUGAGUACAUUAUAUGGUGGUAUUAUGGGUAUAGCAUAUAGUGGCAUUUUGAAUACAGUAUAUGGUGGUAUUGUGAGUACAGUAUAUCUGAUGGUAAGAAAUGUACUGCAUGCUGCAUUACUCUAUCACAUGGUUUCCCAAGCAGUGUGCCUCCAGCUGUUCCAAAACUACAACUCUUAGCAUGCAUGGACAGCCUUUGGCUGUCCGGGCAUACUGGGAGUUGUAGUUAGCUAGAGGCACCCUGCUUGGGAAACACUGCUCUAGUAUCUGGAAGUGACAGAAGCAUGUAAUGGAAUACGAUUGGUCCACCCUAUAUCUUCUGUUUUGGUUGGUAGUAGACAUUGUUCUGGUGGCUUUGUACUAUUGAAACCAAAGAUCAAUUAUCCCAAGAUAGUAAUGAUGAUUAAUUCUUGUGAGUCUCCAUCCCAGACCCUUAUACCGCCGACGCUCAGCCUAAAGACUGACUUUAUCUCUCUCUGCGUUAUGAAACAUCUCUUUAUUGCUUGUAAUACCAUUUUAGAUCCACUCGAUUUCACAGUUUCUAUUUUUAACUAUAAAGAGCUCUAUUUUUAACUCUUUUGUCAGUUUCUAUUAGCGAUUUGAAAACAUCUCGGUCGUCAGCAUCGUGCUGUAUACAGACUGGAGAAGUCAUUGUUACUUUACAGGUCCAUUUAACAAAAUAAAAACUAAUUGAAUCGUCAUGGAGGCUGGAGAAUAGUGGUGCUAUACUGCUAUGUAGA